GACGAACGCUGGCGGCGUGCCUAAUACAUGCAAGUCGAACGCAGUGGGGACGGGUGAGUAACACGUGGCUAACCUCCCAUCAGAGGGGAUAACACUUGGAAACAGGUGCUAAACCGACACUGGUGGAUGGACCCGCGGUGCAUUUGCUAGUUGGUGGGGUAACGGCUCACCAAGGCCCCGAUGCAUAUCCGACCUGAGAGGUUGCUCGGCCACACUGGGACUGAGACACGGCCCAGACUCCUACGAGAGGCAGCAGUAGGGAAUCUUCGGCAAUGGACGAAAUUCUGACCGAGCAACGCCGCGUGGGUGAAGAAGGUUUUCGGAUCGUAAAACUCUGUUGUUAGAGAAGCGGUAUCUAACCAGAAAGCCACGGCUAACUACGUGCCAGCAGCCGCGGUAAUUC
rnacentral:rRNA from 1 species